UAUUGCACAAUGGGGGAAACCCUGAUGCAGCGACGCCGCGUGAGUGAAGAAGUAUUUCGGUAUGUAAAGCUCUAUCAGCAGGGAAGAANNUGACGGUACCUGACCAAGAAGCCCCGGCUAACUACCAGCCAGCAGCCGCGGUAAUACGUAGGGGGCAAGCGUUAUCCGGAUUUACUGGGUGUAAAGGGAGCGUAGACGGUUGUGCAAGUCAGAAGUGAAAGCCCGGGGCUCAACUCCGGGACUGCUUUUGAAACUGUGUAACUGGAGUGCAGGAGAGGUAAGCGGAAUUCCUGGUGUAGCGGUGAAAUGCGUAGAUAUCAGGAGGAACACCAGUGGCGAAGGCGGCUUACUGGACUGUAACUGACGUUGAGGCUCGAAAGCGUGGGGAGCAAACAGGA
rnacentral:rRNA from 1 species